CAGCUGGGGGGGGGGGCGGGGGGUUGCUACUGACGUGCAGUAAGCAGGGGCCAGGAGGAUGCACGGGACACCCCCGACCACGAACGCUCUGGCCCCCAAUGUCAGCAGCGCUGAGGUCGGUCG